rnacentral:SRP_RNA from 1 species
UUCGGCAUGCAGCAGCAGCAGCAGGGCGGAUUGGGUGGCGGCGCU